rnacentral:rRNA from 1 species
CCUACGGGAGGCAGCAGUGGGGAAUAUUGCACAAUGGGGGAAACCCUGAUGCAUCAACGCCGCGUGAGCGAUGAAGGACUUCGGGUCGUAAAGCUCUGUCCUAAGGGAAGAAUACUGACGGUACCUUAGGAGGAAGCCCCGGCUAACUACGUGCCAGCAGCCGCGGUGAUACGUAGGGGGCUAGCGUUAUCCGGGAUUAAUAGGCGUAAAGGGUGCGUAGGCGGCCCGUCAAGUCAGAGGUGAAAGGCUACGGCUAAACCGUAGUAAGCCAGUGAGACUGUAGGGCUUAAGUGGGGGAGAGGGGAGGGGAAUUGCCAGUUUAGCGGUGAAGUGCGCAGAUAUUGGUGGGAACACCAGUUGCGAUGGCGGCUGUCUCGACUGUAAAAGACGGAGAGGCAGGAAAGCGUAAGGAGCGAACAGGAUUAGAUAGCCGUGAGGGG